GGGUGAUUAGCUCAGCUGGGAGAGCAGCUCCCUUACAAGGAGGGGGUCGGCGGUUCGAUCCCGUCAUCACCCACCA
rnacentral:tRNA from 4 species